AUUGAACGCUAGCGGGAUGCUUAACACAUGCAAGUCGAACGAGUGGCGGACGGGUGAGUAAUAUAUCGGAACGUGCCUAGUAGCGGGGGAUAACUACUCGAACGAGUGGCUAAUACCGCAUACUAUUGGAGCGGCCGAUAUGGGAUUAGCUAGUUGGUGGGGUAAAGGCUAACCAAGGCAACGAUCCGUAGCUGGUUUGAGAGGAGGACCAGCCACACUGGGACUGAGACACGGCCCAGACUCCUACGGGAGGCAGCAGUGGGGAAUAUUGGACAAUGGGGGAAACCCUGAUGCAGCCAUGCCGCGUGUAUGAGAAGGCCUUCGGGUUGUAAAGUACUUUUGGCAGAGAAGCGGUAUCUGCAGAAGAAGCACCGGCUAACUACGUGCCAGCAGCCGCGGUAAUUC
rnacentral:rRNA from 1 species